rnacentral:lncRNA from 1 species
AUGGCAGAAGUGAUGACCACGGAUCUCCCUGGAGACGGAUCAGCUGCCACCACAGAGGCCAUUCCUGAGCAGGCAGGGGACAGCACAGACACACAUCUAUUUGCCUGGCCUGACACUGCAGAGAGUGAGGACACCGCCCUUGACAGCCCCAGCAGCUCCACCUUGGAUGCUCUCCUGGAAGAACUCUCUGAGUACCUGGAGGACAGUGGCUGCCUUGACAAUCAAGUGGAGUUGGCACAGCAAGGGGACAAUGAGGACACCGUCUUGGCCGCCAAUGUCCCCAGCCUGACAGCUGAGGACUUCGAUGAGUUCAUUGAAUUCUGUGAAUUCCUGCUGGAAGACGACCAUCCCAAGAAGCCGGUGGUGGAGGACAGCUGGCAGCAGCCAGGCCAAGAGCUGUGCGCCAGCCAGCACCCCCACGAGCUAAGAGACCUUCCCGCAGGACCAUGGCCCAGCCGGCAAGAAAAAGACGACGGCAGUGAUGCAGCACCAAGGCCAGAAGACAAUCUGAGCCAGUGACCUACAUCCAGAGCCCCAGCCCUCUCCUACACUCCUCAUUCCCAUUUAGUCAUUAAAGGCUUGUUUUUCAUCUCCUCUCUCUGCUAGGGUUCAUAUUCACAGUGGGAGGGGGCCCCAUGUGGGUCCCACUGGGCUGGCGUAGGUGACAAAGAGGAUGGGGACAUUGUUCUGGGUGCUGGGCAUCUCUGGGGGAAACAAUACUGGUGAGAGUCCUCAGAGCAUCAAGCAGCAGGACAGGCACCACGGAGUCACCAGGAGCAGGGAGCACGGCGCUGGGCACGUGCUAAGCUUCCCACUUGGUUUGGCUGCCAGAGGCCAAGGAAAGAAGGAGCUGCCCCAAGCAGGGGAACCUUUCCUUGGCAGGGAGUGGAUGAGAUGGAACGUUGUGGGAUGGUUCUGUUGGGGAUUUGAAAUGUCCUGAGUGCUGCCAUAGGGAUUUCUCAUUUGCCACAGGGCAAUUUCUCAUCUCUAAAAGGACCAACUCUCUCUGCAGAGCAUCCUGGCUGGUUCUCUCACCCUGUCACUUGUCCCCCUCGGCCUGCUCCCCACAUUUUCUAUAUUGAGAAGGAUUUUCUGUGGUACGGAAUGUCCCUCCAACCAGUUCAGGUCAGCUGUCCUAGCCAUGCCCCCUCUCCCAGCCCCUUUAGGACAUAUCUCCCUUUGACGGGGUCUCUGUAAGGAGUAUUCAAGGCAGGUUGGAUGGGGCUUGGAGCAGCCUGGUCUGGUUGAAGGUGUCUCUGCCAUGGCACAAGGGUUGGAAUUGAAAUGACCUUUAAGGUCCCUUCCAUCCCAUACUGGUCUGGGUUCUUUGGCAGACACAGUGAGAGAGGGAACAGCUUGAAACAGUUUCAAAAACUAAAUUUUCCACUGGCCUAUAUUCUGUCAUCCCAUUUUACGAAAAAAACAAGAAAUCUAAAUUAAAAGGAGAUAUCAAGCAGGCAAGAAUCAUCUGCUGUAGCCAAAGGAAACUGAAUCUAACAUUUAACCCAUCUGGCUUAAA